rnacentral:rRNA from 1 species
UACGAAGGGGGCUAGCGUUGCUCGGAAUUACUGGGCGUAAAGCGUGCGCAGGCGGUUUUGUAAGCCAGAUGUGAAAGCCCCGGGCUUAACCUGGGAAUGGCAUUUGGGACUGCAAGGCUUGAGUGCGGCAGAGGAGACUGGAAUUCCCGGUGUAGCAGUGAAAUGCGUAGAUAUCGGAAGGAACAUCAGUGGCGAAAGCGACUUCCUGGACCAGUACCGACGUUCAGGCACGAAAGCGUGGGGAGCAAACAGG